AUAGGAUCCACCACCACAGCCACUGCUCGUUGAUUCAGUGCUUCAAAACUCUGCUGUGUAUUGAUGUCAACACCAGAAAGCCAGCAGCCAAAUCCAGGAUGUGAGUGAUACCAACCAACAACCAUCUCAGGUCUCCCAGUUUGCUUGAGCAUGUCAAGCAUAUUGGUUUGAAAAACAUGAUCAACAGCUUCAACACUCACACCAGUACCACUCUGAGGCAUUGCAAACACAUCAACUACACGCACUGUAUACUCAUCGACGAAAUCCCCUAACAUCAAUCCCAUCACCUCCAUAGGAACUCCAGCCCUCCCGUGUUUAAGCAUCUUUAGGAGGGCAAGAGAAGAGAUGUAGACUUGCUCAGAAGAGUCCAGAGUUGGAGAGUCCGGUGGCGGGUGGCCCAACGCGCCGCCAGCUCCGGCGAACAUCCGCUGCAAUCUUUCCAUUCCAGACAUACUCUCCGAUUGGGUUUUGCUUUGCUUUUUGGAUUUCUUUGAGAACAAG
rnacentral:misc_RNA from 1 species